UUUUUUAGAGAAAAGGCCUAAGCCCGACUUUAUAAAUAAAGCCACAAGGCAGCGUCAUAAGCCCAACCAUCAACAACCAGGGCGAUACACCCAACAACCACAGCAACAGAAUAAAACCAGGACACAUGAGAGUAUAAGGGGUACAUGGCAACCUGCCAAACACGGCACACAGGCCGGAGGGAUAACGGAAACACCAACAGACAUGAAGGACGAUGAAGCAUCAAACAAGUUUAGACGUCAUGAGCCUGCCCGGAUAUGGAGGACGCCGAGGCCCGAAUUUUAGAGAUUAGCAUGUCCAGAGCUCCCCGAUCGUCCUCUUUAGUCAAUGAUCUCCACUGCUGCAUGAAUAUACAAGAUUUGAAAGAAUGUCAGCCGCUUUCAAACGAAAGACGUGUUCAAUAGUAAAUUUGUUCCUAAUCGUCCAAAGAGACCAGCAAAUCACACCCAAGCCAACCCAGAAAACCCUCUUAGCGACCCCAACCAACGAGCUGGCAAGGUUUCUCAUCUCAUGAAAGGAGGAGGGGUUCCAAGUAACCUGAAGCCACGACCGGACACAUCACCAAACAACCUUAGACAAAACACAAUGAAAGAAGAUAUGCUCCGUGUUUUCCACCGCACCGCAAAGAGCACAAAAUUCCGAGCCCGGACCAUUACGCUUACGGAUUUGAUCAGCAGUGGGGAGCCGGCCCCUAAAGGCUUGCCAAAGAAAGAUUUUAACCUUAGUAGGAACUUUGGCCCUCCAAAUGCAAGAGCACCUGUUGGAAGGGACACAACCGAUGAGCCUCGCGUACAAAGACUUAACCGAAAACCGACCAGAGGCAGAAUGAGGCCAGACAACAGAGUCCGAUGACUCCGAGAGCGUGAGGAAGAAGGCAGUAAGACUUUGCCAAUCUUCCAACUCUUCAGGAGGCAGGGAACAGCGCAAGGCCAAAUCCCAGUUAUUGGCUGCCACCUCCGUGAUGGAGAUGUCACGGUUAGGAUAGAAACAAAACAAAACAGGAAACCUACUAGCCAAAGGAGAAUCACCACACCACCAGUUGCGCCAAAAACGGACCGAGGUGCCAUCACCAACAAUAAACUUAACAUGAUCCAGGAAAAGAGGCCUGACUUUAAUAAGGUCUUUCCAGAACUGAGAACCCCGCUGGGAUCCCGCAAACAUAGGACUCGAAAGGGGAAAGUAUUUAGCCUUAAGAAUAGAGUACCAAAGAGAGCCGGCCCCAGUGGUCAUAAUUUUCCACCACCAUUUAAUUAACAUGCACUUGUUCAUGACCUGGGUAUUAAUAAUGCCUAACCCUCCAAAGUUUUUUGGCCUGCACAUAAGCUUCCAUUUAACCAGCCUAUACUUUCGUUUAUUAUCAAUAGCGUUCCAAUAAAAAGCACCCCUGUGUUUGUCAAAACCAGCAUGGGUGCUAACCGAAAGGAGAGAAAAGCCCAUCAGAAACAUUGGGAGGGAGGAGAGGCAAGCAUUAAUGAGAGCAACUUUGCCUGCAUUGGUAUUGUAUCUACCACGCCAGGGGAGAACCCUGUUUCCCACCUUAGACACAGCCGGAGCAAAGUCCUUGACAUGAAGCACCACAGGAGAUAUAGGCAGCCCCAAAUACUUGAUGGGGAAGGAGCCCAGAGAGCAGUUUAGCAGCCUAGCAACAAUCAAGGCCUCAGUAUUGUCGACGCCAGUGACAAGAACCUCACUUUUGGAAAAGUUGAUUUUUAGACCCGAGACAGCCUCAAAGCAAAGCAGGAUGAAUUUAAGGUGGGAUUUGCAGGCGUCAUUCAGCUCAACCAUAAUGUUGGUAUCAUCAGCGUACUGCAGGUGGGUAAUACCAUCCGGAACUAGGUGAGAGGCCAUAGGCAAGAUAUGACCAUGCUGAGCCGCCCUAAGAAGAAUGCGGGAAAAGGCGUCGGCCACAAAAUUAAAGAGCACAGGGGAGGCAGGGUCCCCUUGACGCAGGCCUCGGCCGUUAACAAAGAAAUUACUAAUAUGACCGUUCAAAGAGACUGCGAUGCCCACCCAAGACCAGCUACAUAAUACGAUGCACAUAAGCCCCAUCGAAGCCUUUCGCAAGCAAGACCUACCUUAAAAAAGGCCAGCUAACCGAGUCAUAGGCUUUCUCAAAGUCAAGUUUUAAAAUAAUCUCUUUGGAGUUGCGAGCCCGCAAGUCAUGCACAAUUUCAUGUAGACAGAGGACCCCAUCUAGAAUGUAGCUCCCUUUGAUGAAAGCAGACUGGUACGGGAUGAUGACUCUAUGGGCAACGGGGGAUAGAGGAUUAGCGAAACCCUUCGCAGGGAAUUUAGCAAAGUUGUUAAUCAAAGCGAUGGGUCUAAAUUGAGAGAUCAAUUCAGCACCUUUAACCUUAGGAAUCAGGGAAAUCACUGCAUAAUUAAGACAAGAAAUAUCAAUCGUGCCUAGUCAAAACCCUUGGACGACAUUACAAACUAACUGCCUCAACUGAGGCCAAAACUUCCCGAAGAAAGGAAUAAAAAAACCGUCUGGCCCAGAUGCAGCGUUCGGGUUGGCAGAGUUAACCACAUCCCAAAUUUCCUUAUCCGAGAAGGGAAUCAUCAACGCAGCGUUCUCCUCGGCCUAAACCCUCGAACUAAGGUCCCAUAGGGAACGGGAGAUGGACAGACCCGAAGGGGGUUUGGCCCCUAAUAGUGUAGAAAAGAACUCAACCACGUGCGAAAGAAUUAAUUAUUGGUUCGAAGUACGCACACUAUUAAUGAUCAGGCUAUUAAUACCACAACGCCUCCACCUACCAUUAGCAAUGGCAAAGAAGUAAGCCGUGGGGGAGUCCCCUUUUAGGGUCUAUUUAAGAGUGCCCCGCUGACGCCAAUAAGCUUCAGCCUGAUGAUGCAACUGCAUCAAGGCAGCCUCCAGGUUAUACCGUAAAGACCACCCAUUGUCAGAGAGCCCAGAGGAGUCAGCCGUAAGAUCAAGAGACAAGAUUUGGGCUUCGAGAAGAUCUUUGGAGCGACGCUCCUCCGCUGCAUGGUUACGGGACCACCCUUUCAGAAAAUUUCGCACAGCGUAAGAUCACGAGUGCCAAUCAUCUAGAGGACCGAAAGAGAGGGCAUUGGAGGAGAGGAGGAGGGUAAUCUUCGAGGCGAGCAUGUCACUGAAGCCAUCAAUCAAUAGCCAAGAAGCGUCAAACUAGAAACAGGCAGGUGGUCUAUGAAGCUGCGACCCAUCGUCCAUAAGAAGAGGAGUAUGGUCCGAACCCACAAUACAUUUGGCGACGAGGGAGGCCCUGGGAAAUAACGAGUCCCACCUAGAGCAAACAAAGACUCUGUCUAGAACCGAUCUGUUCGGGUUAGUCUGGUGGUUAGACCAAGUGAAGCGGGCUCCAACCCUAGGAAGCUCGCAGAUGGCAUUAGAACUGAUAAAGUCAUUAAAAGCAUUAGCCAGAGGCCAAGAGAAGUUGUUAUUAUUUUUAUCAGAAGGGGAACUAAGGAGAUUGAAGUCUCCACCGAUAACCAUCGGUAGAUUACAAGCCUCAAUCUUCUCAGAGAGCUUGUCCAGAAAUAGAGAGGAGAGAGAAUGAUCAGCAGACCCAUAAACUACAUUGAACACCCAUAACAGAUUAAGGGCUUUAUGGCAAACAACUGUGUUGGCUCCAAAACUACCAUGAUCAAAGGCAACGAAAUCAAAAACAUCUCUUUUGGAGCCAAUGAGGAUGCCACCCGAAUGGCCUGACGCGGGUAACACAUGCCAAUCAAAUCUAUCCAUACCCGCAAUAGAUGACAACUCAUGAAGGGAAAAAGAAGUUUUGAAAGUCUCCAUGAACCUUACCAAAUCAACAUUAUUCCCACGCACCAAAUCUUUAAUUUGAUCCCAGUGCCCCCUAGCACCAAAACCCCUAAUGUUCCAGAAUAAGGCCCUCAUUUAUACGACAGGUUUUUAAUGCGGAGGCUAGACCUGCUAGGAGCCAUGCAGGGUUUGGAGCAUUUGGAAGGGCCCUUUUUAGAAGUGCUAGGCAGAGGUUGUCCACUACCAACCUCCACCCCCUCACCCUGAGCCCGGGUACCUACAGAAGCAGCAGCCGAAGAGGCAGCGGCCUCUUUAGCUUUAGCAAUAGCCGCCUGGGCUAGCUCGUUAUCCUGAAUAGUAGAAAGAAGAGUAACAGGAGAACAAACUUCAGGAUCUACCGGCACUCCCACAUCCGACAUAAUAUUUAACAGGAAAUCAUUAGAUAAAGAUGGUAGAACUAGCCGGGGCGGGGAAAAAGAAGAGCAGGGGCCAUGUUGGUUACCUGUAGGAGGAGGAAGAUCCUUAGCAGCAGCCCGCCUUUCCGCCCGCUCCAUGAUGGAACCACCCGCAUCGACGACCCGCCUACCUUUGCGAGCCGUGGACGCGGGCGACCGAAUCAGAGGAGAUGGAUCCACAGGAGAAGCCACGACGGGGCCAGAGCGAGACAUCGAGCCGAGAUCCUUGUCGAGGCGGCAAUAGACGCCAGUCAUGGACUGCUUGGAGCCCGAUGAGUUUCUGCUCUUGGCCGAAAACUUGCGCACAGAGGAUUUCUUCUUUAUCUUAGACUGGGCUCCCACCACAUCAUGAUCAGGAGAAACAGGCAGGUCCUCAAUCCCGGAGCGAGUGGGUGAGAUCGGGCGAACCGGGAGGUUGGAGUAGGCACCAGAGGUGGGAGUAGCAGAGAUCGGCUGAUCCUU
rnacentral:lncRNA from 1 species